rnacentral:rRNA from 1 species
CUCGAGUGGCGAACGGGUGAGUAACACGUGGGUGAUCUGCCCUGCACUUCGGGAUAAGCCUGGGAAACUGGGUCUAAUACCGGAUAGGAGCCAUUUUUAGUGUGAUGGUUGGAAAGUUUUUUCGGUGUAGGAUGAGCUCGCGGCCUAUCAGCUUGUUGGUGGGGUAAUGGCCUACCAAGGCGGCGACGGGUAGCCGGCCUGAGAGGGUGGACGGCCACAUUGGGACUGAGAUACGGCCCAGACUCCUACGGGAGGCAGCAGUGGGGAAUAUUGCACAAUGGGCGCAAGCCUGAUGCAGCGACGCCGCGUGGGGGAUGACGGCCUUCGGGUUGUAAACUCCUUUCGCUAGGGACGAAGCUUUUUGUGACGGUACCUAGAUAAGAAGCACCGGCUAACUACGUGCCAGCAGCCGCGGUAAUACGUAGGGUGCGAGCGUUGUCCGGAAUUACUGGGCGUAAAGGGCUCGUAGGUGGUUUGUCGCGUCGUCUGUGAAAUUCCGGGGCUUAACUCCGGGCGUGCAGGCGAUACGGGCAUAACUUGAGUACUGUAGGGGUAACUGGAAUUCCUGGUGUAGCGGUGAAAUGCGCAGAUAUCAGGAGGAACACCGAUGGCGAAGGC